rnacentral:rRNA from 1 species
GGGCCCGCACAAGCGGCGGAGCAUGUGGUUUAAUUCGAAGAUACGCGCAGAACCUUACCAACACUUGACAUGUUCGUCGCGACUUUAAGAGAUUAAAGUUUUCGGUUCGGCCGGACGAAACACAGGUGCUGCAUGGCUGUCGUCAGCUCGUGUCGUGAGAUGUUGGGUUAAGUCCCGCAACGAGCGCAACCCUCACUUUUAGUUGCCAUCAUUUAGUUGGGCACUCUGAAAGAACUGCCAGUGAUAAGCUGGAGGAAGGUGGGGAUGACGUCAAGUCCUCAUGGCCCUUACGUGUUGGGCUACACACGUGCUACAAUGGUAUUUACAACAGGAAGCAAGACGGCGACGUUAAGCAAAUCCUUAAAAAAUACCUCAGUUCGGAUUGCACUCUGCAACUCGAGUGCAUG